rnacentral:rRNA from 1 species
GAUGAACGCUGGCGGCGUGCCUAAUACAUGCAAGUCGAGCGAACGGACGAGAAGCUUGCUUUUCUGAUGUUAGCGGCGGACGGGUGAGUAACACGUGGAUAACCUACCUAUAAGACUGGGAUAACUUCGGGAAACCGGAGCUAAUACCGGAUAAUAUUUUGAACCGCAUGGUUCAGAAGUGAAAGACGGUCUUGCUGUCACUUAUAGAUGGAUCCGCGCUGCAUUAGCUAGUUGGUAAGGUAACGGCUUACCAAGGCAACGAUGCAUAGCCGACCUGAGAGGGUGAUCGGCCACACUGGAACUGAGACACGGUCCAGACUCCUACGGGAGGCAGCAGUAGGGAAUCUUCCGCAAUGGGCGAAAGCCUGACGGAGCAACGCCGCGUGAGUGAUGAAGGUCUUCGGAUCGUAAAACUCUGUUAUUAGGGAAGAACAUAUGUGUAAGUAACUGUGCACAUCUUGACGGUACCUAAUCAGAAAGCCACGGCUAACUACGU